CUGCUAGCAAAGUGGACUUGCGUUUUGUAUUCAGUUCCUUUUCACACCGACGGGAAGAGGUGAGGAGAGAAACGUCUAAAUGUCAGACAGUCAGUAAGAAGGAGACUGCUGUUUCUCAGCAGAGGUAAUUGGAUGGACCUUUCUCAACCCUGGACCAGGGAGUGAAGGCGCCUUCCAGUUUCCACAUCAACACAAGAAGUAGGAAAUCCACAUAUCAUCAGGGGCCAGAAGUGACCGAAGCAGUCUUCCCUGGUGGCACUGUGAGU
rnacentral:lncRNA from 1 species